CCGUUGAUUGAAGCAUUAGAAGCAGCAGAUCGACUGACGUACGGUGUGUUAAAGUGUUCCCUUUUAAGAAGUUUACCGGAACCGCGGAACCGAUGAUCCUCUUAAACAGAGGAAAAGCAAUCACUAUUGCACAGUGACAGACAUUGCACGUGUGAGGAAUAAUCCUCGGCAGGCCCAAUACCCCAUUAAGUACAAUUCCCAAUAUCAUCUGGAAAAGUGACGCCGAAAUCACAAAACAGAGGUAUCAGAUAUACGGCCGGCUACCUGUCACAGCAUAAGGUGCACAAUACCGACGAACAGUCAUCGUACCAAGCAACCCGUACCGUCGCACAGUACGAACCACGAAGAGGCGACAGUGCAGCUUCCAUCCCGCGCAAACGGACCACAUCCACCAAAUCACUCCCCGAACGCAGAAGGCCCUCGGAAGAGGGCCUUUCUUUUUUGAUAAAUAAAUAGCAGCAGUGCGACGACAGCCGCGCUCACGCCACCGACAUCGACACAGCAUUUGCCAGGACGUGUGAAGAUCGUCCCGAUCGCUCUAACUAGCAGUUUUAGAUUACAUCCUCACACUAUACCAAAAUCCAAUUGGAAAACUCAGUGGUGAGAACGACGAGCCUGUGAGAAACUCACUAAUGCAUGCUGAGCUUGGAGAGCGUCGCAGUCACACUAGUGUUGAGCAUCAACGUUACCCACUAGUAACUCGGGUAUCACGUGUUGACGGUUAGGAAGAAGGGUGAAAGGGCCCAAGCAUCAAGUGUAGCACGGUGAACAAAUGGUGCGGAGUGGGUGGUAGCAGAGAGCUGUGGUGAUUGACGGAAGGAAGAAGUGUGAUCGGUGCAUCGUGGUGUGAGCAGCAUAAGGAAGUAGUAGAAGCAGAAAGAAGAUCGUGGCUGGGUGUUAGUGUGUGUGCAUACAACGUGAGAGCGGUUGGAGAAACAGUGCAGAUGCACUUUCGAAUAGAGCGCCGUCGAAUGGUGCCGAGCAAGGACGUAGUAAGUAGGGGCCCCUAAACAAAUGAUAGCGAAGACGUUCGCUGAAGAGAGCACUACGGUGCAGGAAGGAGGUAGGCUUAGCAUGUAAGACUUGAAUGAUGCAAUACAAAUAUG